UGAGUUUGAUCCUGGCUCAGAUUGAACGCUGGCGGCAGGCCUAACACAUGCAAGUCGAACGGUAACAGGAAGAAGCUUGCUUCUUUGCUGACGAGUGGCGGACGGGUGAGUAAUGUCUGGGAAACUGCCUGAUGGAGGGGGAUAACUACUGGAAACGGUAGCUAAUACCGCAUAACGUCGCAAGACCAAAGAGGGGGACCUUCGGGCCUCUUGCCAUCGGAUGUGCCCAGAUGGGAUUAGCUUGUUGGUGGGGUAACGGCUCACCAAGGCGACGAUCCCUAGCUGGUCUGAGAGGAUGACCAGCCACACUGGAACUGAGACACGGUCCGGACUCCUACGGGACGCAGCA
rnacentral:rRNA from 1 species